AACAAUGUUCAUCUGUUUAACUAUGACUUGUGAGAUCUCCUUGGCUGCUGCGAUCUGUGCCUUCUCCCCCAGUAGUCCCCCUAUGGCUGACCUGAUGAUGAACAGUAUACACUUCUUGGCAUACACCGCACCCACGUGGGUGGGUGUGGCCUUGGGGUUAGCCACCAAGUGGAAGAUGUGGUUUAGAACACCGAGAUGUUUCUCUCUAGCCACAGACCCCAAUUGACUUCACACUCAAUAUCGGCCAGUUGAGCAAAAGUCAUUUACAUCUCAUCCAAAGUUCAGUUUUUAAAAUUAUAAAAUUUUACAAAACUAAUUCACUUUUAUGCUAUAAAAGCCAGUAUCUUUGGAUACCGUAUAUUAAUAAGAUGUGCAUUUGGACUUAAUCAGCAAUGUACUAAAAUAAUAUAAAGCUGUUUUAAAGGGGAUGGUCACAAUUUUCAUCAGAGAUUAUUUUUCUGAUUUUAAUGUUUACAAUGCUUCAGCAACGCAUUUUUAAUAGGCAACCAAAAUUUGAGUGCCAUUCGUUGAGUUAUAAGCGAGUUACAGAGCUUACCAUUCUUAGCUAUGUAAACUAAGCUUUUGUUUACAUUUUGAAUGUUGAAGUGAAAAUUCCAGUAGCAGGCUCUGUGCAUCUGUGGAGCAGGAAUUCCACAUGUUGAUCAAACACUUCCUGAAGGAAGACUUUGAAUUCUAUCACAUGGAUGUGGGAGACAUUGAAAUGCCCUACCAGCUUGAGGUAUCCUGGACCCCGUACGUUAGAUUUAAGCCGAGGGGAGUCACAGAGUUGUUCCCCUAUCAGUGGAAGGACUUCAGCGGGGAAGCCUACGACUUCCGCUCCCUAUAAAAGUUCCUUGAUGAGCAUGUGGAAAGGUUAGAGAAAAAACCAGAAAUCACGCGGAAGAUCAGAUGUAGAUGAACAAGCUCAUUAACCUUGAAAGAAUGAAGGAUUUCUGUGACAAUAAAACGAUUCAGAUGAUAUUCAUUUCCUUGAUAUUCCAUAUCAUUUUAUUUAAAAUUAAAAAUAGUUUACAAUGCUUUGUCAACUUACAAGAAUAUACAUAUAUUAACCCUAUAUGCAUGAUCAACUGACAGUUAUAAAUACUUGUUUCAUAAUGGAGGAAUGGAUUUUAAAUAUGUAUAAAGAAAUUCAAAUUAAAUCUUCAAAUACAUC
rnacentral:misc_RNA from 1 species